rnacentral:misc_RNA from 1 species
UUGGAUCGUUUUUCUUCUCUCUAACGAGUCGCGACGAGGCCGAUGCCGCCCGAGCCCACCCCCACCCCUCUGCUCCUGUGUCGCUGCUUGUCAGAGCCGUGCGCUUUCGCCUCCCACUCUGGAGCAUCCUCUCCGCGCGUGCGACUCUCUUUCCGUCUCCCUCGCCAGUGGCAGUGUUUGACGAGGGGAGGCGCCGUGCACUGCUUCUCUCUGCAUGCGGCGUGGCAGAUCGGGAUGGGGAUGGGUGCUGAGGUAGUGGCGGCGUCCGUUCCCGCGAUCGCUUUGAUUUGGUAUUGCAGCCGUGGCCCUGGCGCACGCACGCGCGCUUGCACAGGCACCCGCACCGCCCCUCCACACGCGGAGGCGUUUUCUUUGCGUUUCGUUGUGUGCCGGCGUGUGGACGUGUGCAUGGGCGCACGGCGGCGCCGUCAACGGAAAGCGCCAAAGGCACAAAGAGAGGGAAAGUGGCAUGCGCCUGCGCCUCACGGUUUCCGUGCUGCACGCGAACGCAAGCGAGCGUGGCUGCUUGUGCUCCCGCCAAUGCGAAGCAAUCACCCGCUCGACUGCCUGCAUGCCAUGCACGUGAGCGGCGAGCACGUCUGCACAUCGGUUGUGCUCCAUCCCUGCCCCCUCCCCCUCUUUUCCCGCUGCUGUUUGCCUUCCGACAUGUGACGCUCUGCCUUCCAUCUCUGCCGCCCUUCCUCUGCACCCUUUCUCGCACGUUUCGCUUGAUCAUCGACUCCCCCCUCCCCCCACACACACACCGCGAUAG